UAGGGAAUAUUGGGCAAUGGACGAGAGUCUGACCCAGCCAUGCCGCGUGCAGGAAGAAGGCUUUCUGAGUCGUAAACUGCUUUUGACAGGGAAGAAUAAGCUGAACGUGUUCAGUGAUGACGGUACCUGCAGAAUAAGCACCGGCUAACUCCGUGCCAGCAGCCGCGGUAAUACGGAGGGUGCGAGCGUUGUCCGGAUUUAUUGGGUUUAAAGGGUGCGUAGGCGGCUUUUUAAGUCUGGGGUGAAAGCCCGCUGCUCAACAGCGGAACUGCCCUGGAUACUGGAGAGCUUGAGUACAGACGAGGUUGGCGGAAUGGACUGAGUAGCGGUGAAAUGCAUAGAUACAGUCCAGAACACCGAUUGCGAAGGCAGCUGACUAGGCUGUUACUGACGCUGAGGCACGAAAGCGUGGGGAGCGAACA
rnacentral:rRNA from 1 species